GACAUUAUAUCUUGUUGGGCCGGC
rnacentral:siRNA from 1 species